rnacentral:rRNA from 1 species
UACGUAGGCAGCGAGCGUUGUUCGGAAUUACUGGGCGUAAAGAGUGUGUAGGCGGCCCUGUAAGUCAGUGGUGAAAUACUCCAGCUUAACUGGAGGGGUGCCAUUGAUACUGCAGGGCUUGAGUGGAGUCGAAGUAGGCGGAAUUGACGGUGUAGCGGUGAAAUGCUUAGAUAUCGUCAAGAACACCGAUAGUGAAGACAGCUUACUAGGCUUCUACUGACGCUGAGGCACGAAAGUGUGGGGAUCAAACAGG